rnacentral:lncRNA from 1 species
GAGAAAACAAGUAAUUCAUUAACAGAAGACUCAAAAAUGGCUAAUGCAAAGCAGCUAAGCUCAGAUGCAGAGGCCCAGAAGCUGGGGAAGCCCUCUGCCCAUGCCUCACAAAGCUUCUGUGAAAGUUCUAGUGAAACCCCAUUUCAUUUCACUUUGCCUAAAGAAGGUGAUAUCAUCCCACCAUUGACUGGUGCAACCCCACCUCUUAUUGGGCACCUAAAAUUGGAGCCCAAGAGACACAGUACUCCUAUUGGUGAGUGAAUAAAAAGUAAUGAUAUUUAAGGCAGAAUUUCUGAGAUAUCAUUCUCUACACAAGUGAUAUUUUAGAUCUGAGGAGUUGGGUCUGGCUGGUAAGGUUGAUUUUUGUUUUAGGGAAAAUAGGGUUAUGAAGUCUGGUUCUGUGAUUUUACUACUAGGAGAUGAGGGGUAAAGAGAGGAAGGAAAGAAAGGGUGGAGGGAAGUAA